rnacentral:rRNA from 1 species
GAUGAACGCUGGUGGCGUGCCUAAUACAUGCAAGUCAAGCGAACAGACGGGGAGCUUGCUCCUUUGACGUUAGCGGCGGACGGGUGAGUAACACCUAUGUAACCUACCUAUAAGACUGGGAUAACUUCGGGAAACCGGAGCUAAUACCGGAUAAUAUUUCUAACCGCCUAGUUCGAUAGUGAAAGAUGGCUUUGCUAUCACUUAUAGAUGGACCUGCGCCGUAUUAGCUAGUUGGUAAGGUAACGGCUUACCAAGGCGACGAUACGUAUCCGACCUGAGAGGGUGAUCGGCCACACUGGAACUGAGACACGGUCCAGACUCCUACCGGAGGCAGCAGUAGGGAAUCUUCCUCACUGGACGAAAGCCUGACUGACCAACGACGCGUGAGUGAUGAAGGUCUUCGGAUCGGAAAACUCUGUUAUUAGGGAAGAACAAACGUGGUACUAACUGUGGUCGUCUUGACGGUACCUACUCCUAAAGCCACCGCUUACUACCUGCCACCACCCGCGGAAAAGAGUAUGUGGCAAGCGUUAUCCCGAAUAUUGGGAGUCCAGCGCGCGUAGGCGGUUUUUUAAGUCUGAUGUGAAAGCCCACGGCUCAACCGUGGAGGGUCAUUGGAAACUGGAAAACUUGAGUGCAGAAGAGGAAAGUGGAAUUCCAUGUGUAGCGGUGAAAUGCGCAGAGAUAUGGAGGAACACCAGUGGCGAAGGCGACUUUCUGGUCUGUAACUGACGCUGAUGUGCGAAAGCGUGGGGAUCAAACAGGAUUAGAUACCCUGGUAGUCCACGCCGUAAACGAUGAGUGCUAAGUGUUAGGGGGUUUCCGCCCCUUAGUGCUGCAGCUAACGCAUUAAGCACUCCGCCUGGGGAGUACGACCGCAAGGUUGAAACUCAAAGGAAUUGACGGGGACCCGCACAAGCGGUGGAGCAUGUGGUUUAAUUCGAAGCAACGCGAAGAACCUUACCAAAUCUUGACAUCCUUUGACCCUUCUAGAGAUAGAAGUUUCCCCUUCGGGGGACAAAGUGACAGGUGGUGCAUGGUUGUCGUCAGCUCGUGUCGUGAGAUGUUGGGUUAAGUCCCGCAACGAGCGCAACCCUUAAGCUUAGUUGCCAUCAUUAAGUUGGGCACUCUAAGUUGACUGCCGGUGACAAACCGGAGGAAGGUGGGGAUGACGUCAAAUCAUCAUGCCCCUUAUGAUUUGGGCUACACACGUGCUACAAUGGACAAUACAAAGGGCAGCGAAACCGCGAGGUCAAGCAAAUCCCAUAAAGCUGUUCUCAGUUCGGAUUGUAGUCUGCAACUCGACUACAUGAAGCUGGAAUCGCUAGUAAUCGUAGAUCAGCAUGCUACGGUGAAUACUUUCCCGGGUCU